rnacentral:rRNA from 1 species
GAGUUUGAUUCUGGCUCAGGAUGAACGCUAGCGAAAUGCCUAACACAUGCAAGUCGAACGGAUCUUGCCUUGUACUUGUACAGAGUAAGAUUAGUGGCAAACGAGCGAGUAACGCGUGCUUAACCUGCCCCGAAGAUGGGUAUAACUGCAGAGAUGUAGCUAAUUCCCAAUAUGCUCACGAUGGUGAAAUUCCAAUGUGAGGAAAGAUUUAUCGCUUCGGGAGGGGGGUGUGUCCUAUCAGGUAGUUGGUGGGGUAAUGGCCUACCAAGCCAAUGACGGGUAACCGGUCUGAGAUGAUGUCCGGUCGCGAUGGGACUGAGAUACGGCCCAUACUCCUACGGGAGGCAGCAGUGGGGAAUCUUGCACAAUGGACGAAAGUCUGAUGCAGCAAUUUCGCGUGAAGGAUGAAGCAUUACGGUGUGUAAACUUCUUUUUUGGCAGAGGACGAAU